rnacentral:rRNA from 1 species
UGUAAUUGCAUUUAAGGGCAGAUGGUGGAUGCCUUGGGAUAUCAAGACGAUGAAGGACGUGGCGUGACUGCGAUAAGCCUCGGGGAGGUGUCUAGCAACCGUUAAUCCGAGGAUGUCCGAAUGGGGAAACCUAAUCUUGUGUGAACAGGAUUGUUUCGCGCAAGCGAGACGUGUACCUGGGGAAGUGAAUCAUCUCAGUACCCAGAGGAAAAGAAAUGUAUUCCCUUAGUAGCGGCGAGCGAACAGGGAGAAGUCUAAACCCUUUAUCGCAAGGUAAAGGGGGUUGCAAGGGAAUAGCGUCGGAGCCUUACUCCACAAAACCUAUCAAUCGAUUGGUGGGGUAAUGCAUCUGAGGGAGAGCACAAGUUGAAGAUUGGUUAGGAGAACGAGUCUGGAAAGACCGGCGAAACAGGGUAAAAGCCCCGUAUCCGAAAACCUCUUCAUGCUCCUUGCUAUUUUACUUAAGUACCUUGGUGAAAGAACGCCCCGUGGGAAACAGGCCGUACUAACGGCCAAGGCUAAAUACUUGAUAUCACCGAUAGUGAACCAGUACCGUGAGGGAAAGGUGAAAAGUAGGGGG